AGCACUUUGCAGACCGGCGCGCUCUGGCGGGAGGGGAUUUCAGUGCCCAUCCGCCAGGCCCUGAGGCUUUGUACACCCUUUGCCUCGGGGAACAGUAACGGAGCCCAGCGGGCACAGGCUUUUGCUAGGAUGGGAAAGUUUGUCCCGACUAGAGCCGGGGGAGUUUCGGCGGUGGAGCGGUACCCCGGGAGGUACUGACCGAAGAUAGUGGGAAGCCAGAGUAAGGCAAAACAAAAUACCAUCCUUCCUUUUAUUCUUUAGCAUGCAUAAAAGCACAGACCACAUCAGACACUGGAGAGCUGCAUGGAGAUUUUACUUUGCAAAUGGAGCAGCAUGCUGGCAGCAUAAAGGAUGAAAGUCUUUGAAGAGCUCUUUUGAGGAUAGAAAUCAGCCCACGAUCUCCUUCAGGCUGCAUUCUUAUUCAUCGUUAUUUCCAAGGUUUUUUUUUCUCAAACACUCACCAAGAUAAAUUCCAAUCAUAAAGAGUCCCACUGAGCUGAGUAUGUAUUAUAUAGACAUGUAACACAGCUAUAGCUACUGCACUUUUUGUACCUCAGUAUAAUGCAAAAAUACAACAAAACAAAUGCCUUUACAUUGGAGGCUUAAUUUUAUCCAGGCAAAUGGAAAUAUGCCACAAAUCCAAUAACCUCAGCUAGCACCCUUAGCAAAACCUUAACUCUAGUGUCCAGUAAAUGUUCUCUGCAGACUUUAGAUGAGGUGAGCUUUUGGGGGCACUGCUACUUAUAUAAUGUCUUUCCCAUGAAUGAAAGAUGCACAUCUCUAGCUCUGCUAGGCCAGUACUUAAAAAAAUAAACCAGUAGCUCUUAUCAAUGUUUGGAGACAAAUUAUUUAUAACACCGCAUUAUCUAGAGUGAUGCCAUGUUUUACUUACCAUUGAGAAUGGUUUGUAAUAUAGUUUCAGAAAAUAAAA